AAAGUUCUGGAGACGGAUGGUGGGGACGGUGGCACAACCGUGUGAAUGUGCUUCAUGCCGCUGAGCUGGGCACUGAAAACGGUUAAAAGGUAAGUUUUAUGUUAUUUUACAGUGAAAAAAAAUUUAAAUACUCAUAAGACAAUCACUUUAAAAAUACUUUUGAAAUUGAGCGAUACAGGAACAAACAGCACUUGGGGACAAAUCUUUAAAUUUAUUACCACUUUCAGCAGCGAGAUCCAUAAGGAUGGCGAUUUUGCAGUGGCGACAAGUGGCCGCCAUAUUUCGAGCCACCUGCAGCCAUGCCAUCGAUAUGAAGAUAUCUGUGGCUUUCUAUUGGGGACCACAUCCUGCCGGUGCCUUCCUUCAGAACUGAGGAAAUGGCAAAUAUGGGUCAGAGUCAGUGAAAACAGAGAUGUGGGGUUUUCCCCUCGUCAGUUCACAGACACCCCGAAUUCCCUCCUUAGGGCCCCUGAGAGGUGCGUGGACCCCAAGCCAAAGCUGGCACCCAGGUUCAUGGGACGGGGGUGCAAAUGGAAGUUAGAUGGAUGCUAAGAGCCCCCGACCCCCACCUCCCCGCCACAGCCUCUGACUUGGUGUCCGUCUCCACUGAGGGAGAAAUUUUAUUGAGUACCUACUGUGUACCAGGUGUGUCUAGGCUCUGGGGAUAGAUGGUGGCGGUGGGGGCAGCGGGGGAAGUGGGCCCUGCCUUUCGGGCCUCCCGAGCUGGCGGUGGAGAGGGCAUUAAAUCCAUCUUCCCCGGGGCGGGCCCCGUGGCCCCGCGGUGCUUCAUCAGCCUGGGUGUUAAUAAUGACAUCAAGCCACCUCGCACAGAAGUAGGAUGUGGUGGCAUCCCACAUUGAAGGACUCACAACUGGGAUGUACAACUAUGUACUGGGGCUUUGGGGAGGAAAAACAAAAAAGAGGAAGAUUGACAACAGAUGUUAGUUCAGGGCCAAUCCUCCUCACCAAAAAAAAAAAAAAAAAAAAAGUAGUGCAUCCCUUUAAAUCCAUCUUCCCGUGCCUCUCUCCGCAUCCUGCCGGAUCAUCAGGAAUUUUGGGAGCGUUCAAUCAGGGCCUGUCCCCACGACAGACAGAUCGUGGUGGUCAUCUUUGAUCCCCAGAGAGUAAAUAUUGUUGGCAUUUCGGGCCAGAUCAUCUAGGUCACAACUACUCACCCUGCCAGUUGUAGCUCGAAAGCGGCCCCAGGCGAUGCGUCAAUAAGUGGGCGCGGCCGUGUGCCAAUAAAACUUUAUUUACAAAACCAGGCGUAGUUCAGAUCCGUACUCUGACACUCACCAGCUGUGAGGUGGGGCGGAGGACGAGCCCGCGGAGUUGUGCCUCAGUUUCCCCCCCCAACACAGAGAUGACUACAGCAGCUGCCUCCUGGGGUUGAGAAAAGGAUGAGGUGACUUUUCUCUGGGGCGGCUGGGGAAGGGGGAACUGCAGGGACUGACUUCUCCUCGGCCGUGGGGAAGAUACAGUCUCGCUCUUAAUACGUCCUUCUGGAUUGUUCUCCAAAUUUGUGUUCCCUGUUCACCGGCCCCCCCGGAAGUGAAUGAACGGGCUCAUUUCCCGCCACCCUCCCCCCCAUCCCCACCACUCGCACUUUCUCUUUCUUAAUUUGUGUCGUGGGAUCGUUCAGAGGCACCAAACCAAACAAAUCUUAAAUAAACAGCUCAGCGGACUUGGGUACGUAACCCUCUCCGUGGCCAACGCGCCCAGGAGGACAGAGGUCACUUCCUGCCCCUUGGCCGUCAUUACUCACCAGAGCCGAUUUCUCCCGUCACGGUUUAGUUUCACUCGUUUUGAAACUUCAUCGAAAGGCCAUCAGACCACGGAAGGCUUCUGCUCUCAAAACAUCACGCCUGGGAGUUUCACCCGCGUUGUCGUGACGAUCGGUCACUUAUCCUUGUUCUUUGCCAUGUAAUAUUCCGAGGCGUGACCUCUACCCUGAUUGGUUUAUCUACUGGCUUCUGGAUGCGCACUUGGGUUUUUCCCCCAGUUUGGGGCUCUUUGGAAUGAAGAUGCCAUGAACAUUUGGGGGCAAGUCCGUGUGUGGACAUCUGCGCACGCUGAACUUGGGGAUAAACGCAGGAGUGGGAGGGUUAGAACACAGGGGGGCUGUCCCAUGCGGCUUUGUCAUACGGAUUUAUAAAUUCCUGCCCGUCAGACCAAGGGUCCCCAAGAGAAGGUGACAUCGCCCCGCCCUUGUGAAUGAGAAAGAAUAGAGGGUCAUUGCUGCUCUCCAGGGGGCCUGGGGGUGAGCCAACGUCCCCCUCUCGCCUCCGAGUCUCAGUUGGGGACAGACAUCGCUGGGCCAUCCCAUCGCUCCAGCAGUGACACCUGCUUCCCUGACCCCCCCCCAGAACCGCCAUCAUCAUCUGCUGGAGAUGUGCCCACGCACAGGACGGGACCGUGGCUUCCAGAAGGACCUGCAAGCAUUUCCUGUGACGAGUCAGACGAACCAGAACGGACACAAGAGUAGUAUGGAUGCUGUGACAAAUCCAGUUGCCUCGUGACCUCGAAACGGACUUAACGAGAUAUGGGGAGAAAAUCAGCUUAAAACCACCAAGUUAGUGCCAACAUGUUACAUGGCAACGGCCGACUGAUACACCCCGUUUUGUGGACGGACCAAUGAAGGGCCAGAGAGCGCAAGCGGGGCCAGACAAGCUCCCCAGCAAGUCGGGGUGCAUGCCGAAGGACGAGCACCCACACCCGCCCUCUGGGCCCUCUAGGUUUUUGGGGCCGGCACCCCAGGGUCUGAGUCCAGUUCCACCACUGACUGGCUGGGAGACUUUGAGCCGAUUACUUGAUUGCUCCCUGCCUCAGUUUCCCCAUCUAGAAGAUGGGCACACAAGUAGCACCCACCCCGGAUGGUUGAGAUGAGGAUGGAGCCGACAUCCACCAAGCGCUCAGGACAGCAACCAGCUCGUGGUGACGCUGAAAGGAAUGGGCCCAUUCGGGGACCUCAGGGACUCACUGAGUCAGAGCUCUAGUGCAUCGUUGUAUAUUCUAGUUGUAAGUCCUUCUCAUCCUUUUAUGUGGGAUGCUGCCACAGCAUGCGAGUGCAUUUCUGACAAC